rnacentral:tRNA from 1 species
GACAUGUGGCUUAGUGGUAGAGCACUUGCCUAGCAUGUAUAAGGUGUAAGGUUCUGAGUUCUAUUCCCAGCACCA